rnacentral:rRNA from 1 species
UUAUAUGCUUGUCUCAAAGAUUAAGCCAUGCAUGUCUAAGCACAUGCCUUAAAUGGUAAAGCCGCGAAUGGCUCGGUAUAACAGCUACGGUUUAUUAGAUUUUUGUUAUCUACUUGGAUAACUGUGGUAAUUCUAGAGCUAAUACAUGCAAGAAAGCUCGGACCUUGCGGAAAGAGCGCAUUUAUUAGAUCAAAACCAAUCGAAUUUCGGUUCGUGUUUUGGUGACUCUGAAUAACUAAGUUGAUCGCACAGUCUCGCACUGGCGACGUAUCUUUCAAAUGUCUGCCUUAUCAACUUUCGAUGGUAGGUUAUACGCCUACCAUGGUUAUAACGGGUAACGGAGAAUAAGGGUUCGACUCCGGAGAGGGAGCCUGAGAAACGGCUACCACAUCCAAGGAAGGCAGCAGGCGCGCAAAUUACCCAAUCCCAGUACGGGGAGGUAGUGACGAAAAAUAACGAGAUAGUCCACUUUGUGGCCUGUCAUCGGAAUGGGUACAAUUUAAAUCCUUUAACGAGGAUCUAUUAGAGGGCAAGUCUGGUGCCAGCAGCCGCGGUAAUUCCAGCUCUAAUAGCGUAUAUUAAAGUUGUUGUGGUUAAAACGCCCGUAGUUGAUUUUUCGACUGUGAAGGUCGGUAGCCCGUAUGGGUUUCACUGUCCCUUCAAGUCUGAAUUUGAGUUUUCUGCCGGUGCUCUUUACCGGGUGUCGGCAGUGACUUGAACGUUUACUUUGAAAAAAUUAGAGUGCUUAAAGCAAGCUAUACGCUUGAAUAUAGUGCAUGGGAUAAUGGAAUAGGACUUUGGUCUUAUUUUGUUGGUUUUCGAGAUUGAAGUAAUGAUUAAGAGGAACAGACGGGGGCAUUCGUAUUGUUGCGUUAGAGGUGAAAUUCUUGGAUCGCAGCAAGACGAACAACUGCGAAAGCAUUUGCCAAGAAUGUUUUCAUUAAUCAAGGACGAAAGUUAGAGGUUCGAAGGCGAUCAGAUACCGCCCUAGUUCUAACCGUAAACGAUGCCAACUAGCCAUUCGCCGGUGUUAAUAUAUGACUCGGCGGGCAGCUUCCGGGAAACCAAAGUUUUCUGGUUCCGGGGGAAGUAUGGUUGCAAAGCUUAAACUUAAAGGAAUUGACGGAAGGGCACCACCAGGAGUGGAGCCUGCGGCUUAAUUUGACUCAACACGGGAAAACUCACCCGGCCAAGACACAAUAAGGAUUGACAGAUUGAUAGCUCUUUCUCGAUUUUGUGGGUGGUGGUGCAUGGCCGUUCUUAGUUGGUGGAGCGAUUUGUCUGGUUAAU